GACAUAUAUUUUCUGUUACACUGUUGCCUUAGCGCUAAGAUUUCUUUGAUUUUCUGCUGGCAGCUUUACCACCCAGUGGAGAUGUCCUCAAGCGUUCACCAUUGCUGCCUUUCCUGCUAAGAAAAUAGAAUUUGCAUGUGUUUCAAUACUUUCUGGAAUCCUACCUUCCAUAUGCAGUCUAGGUCAGUAAAAUGGUGACUUUUGCCUACCAUACUGACCUAUGAUGCUGGAAACUGCAAGAGACAACUUUGUUGCAUAACAACUUGUAAAAAACUACUUCCACUGAGACAAAGAGUAUCUAGAAUUAUGUGACAUCUAGGACACGUACCAAGGUUCAGUGGUGGAAAAUUUGGCAUGGGAUAUCUGGCACAGCAAAUACACGUCUGCUUGUUAAGGUUAAAACUGUCUAUUUUUGAAAUGGUAAAGACAAGGAGUGGACACUUCUUCCUGACAUUUAAAUAAGGAUGUGUCACAGAAGAGGCAAGAACAGAAAAUUCCAACAAAGACAAAAGAAAUAAACAUCGUAAAUAUGUUGUGCUCUUUAAUGUUGGCAUCGUUUUCAGACUUGUGUUAGGUGAAAAUGAAUGUUUUUGAUCUUCUAUCAAAGGUUUACCUUGAAAAUACAGAUGAAAGAUAAACAUCAUUAGUCCACUCUGAUCUCACUUCAGUGCUCUUUUUUUCCAUGUGCCCAUCAGAUUGUCUCAUUGUUUUUGAUUUUUUUUUUUAAAUCUGAUUUUCUGUUUAUCUGAAUAGCUGCUAAAUUCUUUGAUCUAUUUUUGUUGGACUUGCAAGGAACUUCAGAACUUCUGUGAAAGCAAGACAGAGAGAAGCAAUGUGUUUCACCUCUACUUUUUGUUGCUUCCAUUUGGAUAUUGGGAAGUCUUUGUGUAGAGAAUAAAUGAUAUAAGGUAUAGGGUAGUGAAAUCUCAUUUAAAAUAAAU
rnacentral:lncRNA from 1 species